rnacentral:rRNA from 1 species
UACGGAGGGUGCAAGCGUUAUCCGGAUUCACUGGGUUUAAAGGGUGCGUAGGUGGGUCUGUAAGUCAGUGGUGAAAGCCCGGAGCUCAACUCCGGAACUGCCAUUGAAACUGUAGAACUUGAGGAUGAGAGAGGUGAGUGGAAUUCCCAGUGUAGAGGUGAAAUUCGUAGAUAUUGGGAAGAACACCGAUGGCGAAGGCGGCUCACUGGCUCAUUUCUGACGCUCAGGCGCGACAGCGUGGGGAUCAAACAGG